rnacentral:rRNA from 1 species
AUUGAACGCUGGCGGCAGGCCCAACACAUCCAAUUCGAACGAGUGGCGGACGGGUGAGUAAUGUCUGGGAAACUGCCUGAUGGAGGUUGAUCACUACUGGACCCGGUACCUACUACCGCCUACCCUCCGCUGUGCCCAGAUGGGAUUAGCUUGUUGGUGGGGUAACCGCUCACCAAGGAGACGAUCCCUAGCUGGUCUGAGAGGAUGACCAGCCACACUGGAACUGAGAAACGGGCCAGACUACGACGGGAGGCAGCAGUGGGGAAUAUUGAACAAUGGGCGAAAGCCUGAUGCAGCCAUGCCGCGUGUAUGAAGAAGGCCUUCGGGUUGUAAAGUACUUUCAGCGGGGAGGCGUUACCCGCAGAAGAAGCACCGGCUAACUCCGUGCCAGCAGCCGCGGUAAUUC